GAUGAACGCUGGCGGCGUGCCUAAUACAUGCAAGUCGAGCGAACGGACGAGAAGCUUGCUUUUCUGAUGUUAGCGGCGGACGGGUGAGUAACACGUGGAUAACCUACCUAUAAGACUGGGAUAACUUCGGGAAACCGGAGCUAAUACCGGAUAAUAUUUUGAACCGCAUGGUUCAAAAGUGAAAGACGGUCUUGCUGUCACUUAUAGAUGGAUCCGCGCUGCAUUAGCUAGUUGGUAAGGUAACGGCUUACCAAGGCAACGAUGCAUAGCCGACCUGAGAGGGUGAUCGGCCACACUGGAACUGAGACACGGUCCAGACUCCUACGGGAGGCAGCAGUAGGGAAUCUUCCGCAAUGGGCGGAAGCCUGACGGAGCAACGCCGCGUGAGUGAUGAAGGUCUUCCGAUCGUAAAACUCUGUUAUUAGGGAAGAACAUAUGUGUAAGUAACUGUGCACAUCUUGACGGUACCUAAUCAGAAAGCCACGGCUAACUACGUGCCAGCAGCCGCGGUAAUACGUAGGUGGCAAGCGUUAUCCGGAAUUAUUGGGCGUAAAGCGCGCGUAGGCGGUUUUUUAAGUCUGAUGUGAAAGCCCACGGCUCAACCGUGGAGGGUCAUUGGAAACUGGAAAACUUGAGUGCAGAAGAGGAAAGUGGAAUUCCAUGUGUAGCGGUGAAAUGCGCAGAGAUAUGGAGGAACACCAGUGGCGAAGGCGACUUUCUGGUCUGUAACUGACGCUGAUGUGCGAAAGCGUGGGGAUCAAACAGGAUUAGAUACCCUGGUAGUCCACGCCGUAAACGAUGAGUGCUAAGUGUUAGGGGGUUUCCGCCCCUUAGUGCUGCAGCUAACGCAUUAAGCACUCCGCCUGGGGAGUACGACCGCAAGGUUGAAACUCAAAGGAAUUGACGGGGACCCGCACAAGCGGUGGAGCAUGUGGUUUAAUUCGAAGCAACGCGAAGAACCUUACCAAAUCUUGACAUCCUUUGACAACUCUAGAGAUAGAGCCUUCCCCUUCGGGGGACAAAGUGACAGGUGGUGCAUGGUUGUCGUCAGCUCGUGUCGUGAGAUGUUGGGUUAAGUCCCGCAACGAGCGCAACCCUUAAGCUUAGUUGCCAUCAUUAAGUUGGGCACUCUAAGUUGACUGCCGGUGACAAACCGGAGGAAGGUGGGGAUGACGUCAAAUCAUCAUGCCCCUUAUGAUUUGGGCUACACACGUGCUACAAUGGACAAUACAAAGGGCAGCGAAACCGCGAGGUCAAGCAAAUCCCAUAAAGUUGUUCUCAGUUCGGAUUGUAGUCUGCAACUCGACUACAUGAAGCUGGAAUCGCUAGUAAUCGUAGAUCAGCAUGCUACGGUGAAUACGUUCCCGGGUCU
rnacentral:rRNA from 1 species